rnacentral:rRNA from 1 species
UUGGCUACUAUGCCAGCUGGUGGAUUGCUCGGCUCAGGCGCUGAUGAAGGACGUGCCAAGCUGCGAUAAGCNGAACGAGUCACAACGACGUUGGCUACUAUGCCAGCUGGUGGAUUGCUCGGCUCAGGCGCUGAUGAAGGACGUGCCAAGCUGCGAUAAGCUGUGGGGAGCCGCACGGAGGCGAAGAACCACAGAUUUCCGAAUGAGAAUCUCUCUAACAAUUGCUUCGCGCAAUGAGGAACCCCGAGAACUGAAACAUCUCAGUAUCGGGAGGAACAGAAAACGCAACGUGAUNGAUUUCCGAAUGAGAAUCUCUCUAACAAUUGCUUCGCGCAAUGAGGAACCCCGAGAACUGAAACAUCUCAGUAUCGGGAGGAACAGAAAACGCAACGUGAUGUCGUUAGUAACCGCGAGUAAACGCGAUACAGCCCAAACCGAAGCCCUCACGGGCAAUGUGGUGUCCGGGCUACCUCUCAUCAGCCGACCGUCUCGACGAAGUCUCUUGGAACAGAGCGUGAUACAGGGUGACAACCCCGUACUCGAGACCAGUACGCUGUGCGGUAGUGCCAGAGUAGCGGGGGUUGGAUAUCCCUCGCGAAUAACGCAGGCAUCGACUGCGAAGGCUAAACACAACCUGAGACCGAUAGUGAACAAGUAGUGUGAACGAACGCUGCAAAGUACCCUCAGAAGGGAGGCGAAAUAGAGCAUGAAAUCAGUUGGCGAUCGAGCGACAGGGCAUACAAGGUCC